rnacentral:rRNA from 1 species
GACGAACGCUGGCGGCGUGCUUAACACAUGCAAGUCGAACGGAAAGGCCUCAGCUUGCUGGGGUACUCGAGUGGCGAACGGGUGAGUAACACGUGGGUGAUCUGCCUUGCACUCUGGGAUAAGCUUGGGAAACUGGGUCUAAUACCGGAUAUGAACUGCCUUUAGUGUGGUGGUUGGAAAGUUUUUACGGUGCAAGAUGAGCUCGCGGCCUAUCAGCUUGUUGGUGGGGUAAUGGCCUACCAAGGCGUCGACGGGUAGCCGGCCUGAGAGGGUGUACGGCCACAUUGGGACUGAGAUACGGCCCAGACUCCUACGGGAGGCAGCAGUGGGGAAUAUUGCACAAUGGGCGGAAGCCUGAUGCAGCGACGCCGCGUGGGGGAUGACGGCCUUCGGGUUGUAAACUCCUUUCGACAGGGACGAAGCUUUUUGUGACGGUACCUGUAUAAGAAGCACCGGCUAACUACGUG